UACAGAGGGUGCGAGCGUUGUUCGGAAUUACUGGGCGUAAAGCGCGCGCAGGCGGCCUUUUAAGUCUGCUGGUGAAAUGCCGGGGCUCAACCCCGUGCCCGCCACAGAUACUGGGAGGCUGGAGACGAGUAGAGGCAAGCGGAAUUCCGGGUGUAGCGGUGGAAUGCGUAGAGAUCCGGAAGAACACCGGAGGCGAAGGCGGCUUGCUGGGCUCGGUCUGACGCUGAGGCGCGAAAGCGUGGGGAGCGAACAGG
rnacentral:rRNA from 1 species